AGUGAACGCUGGCGGUAGGCCUAACACAUGCAAGUCGAACGGCAGCACAGUAAGAGCUUGCUCUUACGGGUGGCGAGUGGCGGACGGGUGAGGAAUACAUCGGAAUCUACUUUUUCGUGGGGGAUAACGUAGGGAAACUUACGCUAAUACCGCAUACGACCUACGGGUGAAAGCAGGGGAUCUUCGGACCUUGCGCGAUUGAAUGAGCCGAUGUCGGAUUAGCUAGUUGGCGGGGUAAAGGCCCACCAAGGCGACGAUCCGUAGCUGGUCUGAGAGGGUGAUCAGCCACACUGGAACUGAGACACGGUCCAGACUCCUACGGGAGGCAGCAGUGGGGAAUAUUGGACAAUGGGCGCAAGCCUGAUCCAGCCAUACCGCGUGGGUGAAGAAGGCCCUCGGGUUGUAAAGCCCUUUUGUUGGGAAAGAAAAGCAGCAGGUUAAUACCCCGCUGUUCUGACGGUACCCAAAGAAUAAGCACCGGCUAACUUCGUG
rnacentral:rRNA from 1 species